AACCGCCGGAUACGGAACCGUACGUCCGGUGGUGUGAGAGGACGGCGAAAUCUAACAAUUUCGCCUCCUACUCAAU
rnacentral:autocatalytically_spliced_intron from 1 species